GACGAACGCUGGCGGCGUGCCUAAUACAUGCAAGUCGAACGCUGAAGGAGGAGCUUGCUUCUCUGGAUGAGUUGCGAACGGGUGAGUAACGCGUAGGUAACCUGCCUUGUAGCGGGGGAUAACUAUUGGAAACGAUAGCUAAUACCGCAUAAUAGUAGAUGUUGCAUGACAUUUGCUUAAAAGUUGCAAUUGCAUCACUACCAGAUGGACCUGCGUUGUAUUAGCUAGUUGGUGGGGUAACGGCUCACCAAGGCGACGAUACAUAGCCGACCUGAGAGGGGGAUCGGCCACACUGGGACUGAGACAAGGCCCAGACUCCUACGGGAGGCAGCAGUAGGGAAUCUUCGGCAAUGGACGGAAGUCUGACCGAGCAACGCCGCGGGAGUGAAGAAGGGUUUCGGAUCGUAAAGCUCUGUUGUAAGAGAAGAACGAGUGUGAGAGUGGAAAGUUCACACUGUGACGGUAGCUUACCAGAAAGGGACGGCUAACUACGUG
rnacentral:rRNA from 1 species